rnacentral:misc_RNA from 1 species
GAUGAAGAACGUAGCGAAAUGCGAUAAGUAAUGUGAAUUGCAGAAUUCAGUGAAUCAUCGAAUCUUUGAACGCACCUUGCGCUCCUUGGUAUUCCAAAGAGCAUGCCUGUUUGAGUAUCAUUAAAUUAUCAACUGUACCAAUUUGGUUGCAGAUUGGAUGUGGGAGAUUUUGCAGGCUUUUGAUUUCUCUUUGAGAAAACGGUCAGCUCUCCUGAAAUAUAUUAGCAGUGCCUUUGUUGGUUCAUUAGGUGUGAUAAUUUAUCUUCAUCUUCACAUGGUACCUUCAUUUGAGUAAAGGUCAUAUUGCUUCUAAUUGUCUUUGGACAUAAAAAAAAAAAAAACAUAUAAUUGUAUGGAAAACUUGAUCUCAAAUCAGGCAGGACUACCCGCUGAACUUAAGCAUAUCAAUAAGCGGAGGA